rnacentral:misc_RNA from 1 species
UCCGGUUUGUCACCGGCAGUUUCCCAUGAUGUCAAACCCAGGUAAGGUUCUUCGGGUCGCAUCGAAUUAAGCCGCAUGCUCCGCCGCUUGUGCGGGGACCCGUCAAUUCCUUUGAGUUUUAGCCUUGCGGCCGUACUCCCCAGGCGGGGCACUUAAUGCGUUAGCUUCGGCACGGCAACCGUUGAUCGGGUCGCCACACCUAGUGCCCAACGUUUACAGCGUGGACUAC